CUGCUGUGUCAUUCUUAGGGACACUCCCCAACAAACUGCGCCACCCGAGUCUCUCCCUCCUCUCGCCAGCCGGCCCUAAAACAUCAAGACGGAAAAAACAUCCGGGAGAGCCGGUCCGUUUCUCAGGCAGACUAGGCCAUUAGGUGCCUCGGAGAAAGGACCCAAGGCUGCUCCGUCCUUCACAGACACAGUCCAAUCAGAGUUUCCCAGGCA
rnacentral:lncRNA from 1 species